CCUACGGGAGGCAGCAGUGAGGAAUAUUGGUCAAUGGACGGAAGUCUGAACCAGCCAUGCCGCGUGCAGGAAGACGGCUCUAUGAGUUGUCAACUGCUUUUGUCCAAGGGUAAACCUGAAUACGUGUAUUCAGCUGACUGUACUGUACGAAUAAGGAUAGGCUAACUCCGUGCCAGCAGCCGCGGUAAUACGGAGGAUCCAAGCGUUUUCCGGAUUUUUUGGGUUUAAAGGGUGCGUAGGCGGAUUGAUAAGUUAGAGGUGAAAUGUCCGAGCUUAACUCGGGAACGGCCUCUAAUACUGUUGAUCUAGAGAGUAGAUGCGGUAGGCGGAAUGUAUGGUGUAGCGGUGAAAUGCUUAGAGAUCAUACAGAACACCGAUUGCGAAGGCAGCUUACCAAUCUAUAUCUGACGUUGAGGCACGAAAGCGUGGGGAGCAAACAGGAUUAGAUACCCGGGUAGUC
rnacentral:rRNA from 1 species